CCUACGGGAGGCAGCAGUGAGGAAUAUUGGUCAAUGGGCUUACGCCUGAACCAGCCAAGUCGCGUGAGGGAAGACUGCCCUGAGUGUUGUAAACUUCUUUUGUAAAGGAAUAAAGUGAGGCACGGGUGCCUUUUUGUAUGUACUUUAUGAAUAAGGAUCGGCUAACUCCGUGCCAGCAGCCGCGGUAAUACGGAGGAUCCGAGCGUUAUCCGGAUUUAUUGGGUUUAAAGGGAGCGUAGAUGGGUUGUUAAGUCAGUUGGGAAAGUGUGCGGCUCAACCGUAAGAUUGCAAGUGAGACUGGCAGUCUCGAGUACAGGUGAGGUAGGCGGAAUUCGUGGUGUAGCGGUGAAAUGCUUAGAUAUCACGAAGAACCCCGAUUGCGAAGGCAGCUUACUAAACUGCCACUGACACUGAUGCUCGAAAGUGUGGGUAGCAAACAGGAUUAGAUACCCGAGUAGUC
rnacentral:rRNA from 1 species